rnacentral:rRNA from 1 species
GAUGAACGCUGGCGGCGUGCCUAAUACAUGCAAGUCGAGCGAACGGACGAGAAGCUUGCUUCUCUGAUGUUAGCGGCGGACGGGUGAGUAACACGUGGAUAACCUACCUAUAAGACUGGGAUAACUUCGGGAAACCGGAGCUAAUACCGGAUAAUAUUUUGAACCGCAUGGUUCAAAAGUGAAAGACGGUCUUGCUGUCACUUAUAGAUGGAUCCGCACUGCAUUAGCUAGUUGGUAAGGUAACGGCUUACCAAGGCAACGAUGCAUAGCCGACCUGAGAGGGUGAUCGGACACACUGGAACUGAGACACGGUCCAGACUCCUACGGGAGGCAGCAGUAGGGAAUCUUCCGCAAUGGGCGAAAGCCUGACGGAGCAACGCCGCGUGAGUGAUGAAGGUCUUCGGAUCGUAAAACUCUGUUAUUAGGGAAGAACAUAUGUGUAAGUAACUGUGCACAUCUUGACGGUACCUAAUCAGAAAGCCACGGCUAACUACGUG